AGCAGCCGCGGUAAUUCCAACUCCAAUAGCGUAUAUUAAAGUUGUUGCAGUUAAAAAGCUCGUAGUUGAACUUCGGGAUUCACCCAUUGGUCAGGCUUAAUUGUCUGUACUGGUGAGAUGAGUCUCUACCUUCUGAGGAACUUUCAUGCCAUUUGUUUGGUGUGAUUGGAAAUCAGGACUGUUACUUUGAAAAAAUUAGCGUGUUUAAAGCAGGCUAACGUCUGAAUACAUUAGCAUGGAAUAAUGAAAUAGGACGGAUUGAUUCUAUUUCGUUGGUUUCUAGGGUCACCGUAAUGAUUAAUAGGGAUAGUUGGGGGCAUUAGUAUUCAAUUGUCAGAGGUGAAAUUCUUGGAUUUAUUGAAGACUAACUACUGCGAAAGCAUUUGCCAAGGAUGUUUUCAUUAAUCAAGAACGAAAGUUAGGGGAUCGAAGACGAUCAGAUACCGUCGUAGUCUUAACCAUAAACUAUGCCGACUAGGGAUCGGACGCAGUUAAUUUUAUAAUGACGU
rnacentral:rRNA from 1 species